GGCCAGAACAGCCAGUAACCAGACCUAAAAUUUAAGGCCCGCGCCUGCCCAGGCCGACCGGCCCAAAUCGCCCCCCGCUGGCCCAUUCAGCCCACCCACCACUCAACUCCAAUUCCCCAAUCCCCAAUCCAAAUCCCUAGCUGCAGGUUAGCUCGGUCGGCUCGGCUCCUCGCGAGAAACUGGCGGCGGCGGCCUGGUGGUUGACGAGCGGACGGCGGCAGACCGGCGGGCGGGGGUGGCUCCGUGGCAGGGGCUCGGUCGCUCGGCCGCGCACCCGCGCCGCCGCACGGACCCGCGGUCCCGGCCCACGGAGGCGGAGCCGCGUGCGGCCGGGCGCGCCGGAGUCCGCACGGCCGGAGGGCGGACCGGCCGAGGCGGAGCCGCGGAGGCUCGGCGGCCGGCGCGACAAGGCGCGGCGCACGGUCGUCGUGUAGCCUGGGCGCUGGCAGCUCCGCCACAACCGCCACUCCGCCAGUGACAUCUGAAGUUGAAGAAGGAGCUGCAAGAUGUCGAAGAGAACAUUGCUCACCUAUUUUUCAAGCAGCAGCAGCAGCACUCCUCUAGAAAAUGCAAGGCAACCAAAAACCCAAAGAGUAGAGUUUUGUGCCUCAGAUAUCAUUAGUGAUCCCGGAACGCGCAAACCAAUUGACGAGUACCCAUUUGAAAUUAGAGAUCAAGUAAAGAGGGCAUAUGCUUUGAGGGGCCCAACUCAACAAUCAGUUGGUUUUACAUUUCCUCGCACCUGGCAAAGUGGUGAAUGGAGAUCUUUUCAGCGGCAUUGGUUUGAUACUUAUGAUUGGUUGGAGUACAGCGAGUCGAAGGAUGUAGCAUUUUGUUUUUAUUGUUACCUUUUCUUUGAGUCAGGAAAGUCCGACAAAUGGGGGAGUAAUGUCUUUGCAAAGGUCGGUAUAGGAAAAUGGAAGAAGGCCUUGGAAAAAUUUGAUAAACAUGGUUCUUCGCAUUCUCAUUGUAAUACAAGGCUGAAGUGUGAGGACUUUAUGAAUCAAAGAACAAGUGUCUCUCAGAAAUUUGUAAAGCAUAGUAAGGAGGAAGAAAUUCGAUACAAGAUUCGCUUAUCUUCAUCUUUAGAUGUUGCAAGAUUUCUCAUAAUGCAAGGUGAUGCUUUCCGUGGACAUGAUGUCCUCUACUUCCUUGAACAAGGGUACAUAUAGAGAGAUGAUUGAUUGGUACAAAGACAAGGUUGAAACAGUUAAGGAUGCAUAUGAUAAGGGUUUGAAAAAUUGCCAGAUGUUAGCUCCUUCUAUUCAGAUAGAACUUUCAUAUUGAGAUAAACUUUCAUGUGUAGGUUUGUGAAUGAUAAAGGGAAGGUGAUGGAGAGAUUUCUUGGGCUUGAGCAUAUUGAAAGAAGCUUUGGUCGGUAUGAUUUCUAGCCACAAGUUAAGCAUCAAUAUGAUUCGUGGGCAAGGUUAUGAUGGGGCUUCCAAUAUGAGAGGUGAAUUUAAUGGGGUGCAGAAAUUGAUUCGUGAUGAAAAUCCUUAUGCCUUCUAUGUGCAUUGUUUUGCUCAUCAAUUGCAAUUAGUGGUUGUUGCUGUUUCAACUUCUACUUCGGCUAUUGCAGAUUUUUUUAAACUAUGUUCCUUUAAUAGUCAAUAAAGUGGGUGCAUCUUGCAUGAGAAAGGAUGUAUUGCUUGCAAAGCACCAUGACAACUUAUUAGAAAAGAUAGAGAAUUGUGAGAUUGCCACCGGAAGAGGUUUAAACCAAGAAAGUAGCUGAUGAGGAUAUCCCCAUGCUGGAUACACGCGAGAUUUGGUCUUCUACGAGGUACAAGUCGUCACCAACUUGGUCUUCAUAUCCGGUUCGGACUCAACCGACCAUCCUGAACGGAAACGCCGAUAUCUCCUUCAUACGACGUCGAAACGAGGCGUUCUUUGAUGUGUUGGAAAGAAGACAAUAAAAGCUUUUUUUUGGUUCUAGUCCGAGCUUCAGAAGUUUUGUGGAUCAUUCUAUGUGACCACGACAAGGUGUUGCGUCACCUAUUUUGGAUUAAGUCGGCCUUGUAUCGUAUUGGGCCUUAAGCCCAGGUUGAGGGCACCCCACCUAGCCACCCUCAACCCUAGGACCUCCCCCCUUCGGUAUAAACUCAGUAGCAGCUGCCACAUUAGGGUUUGAAUUUUGUUUAGUUCUAGUUUUCCAUUGAGAAACAAACAUCUUCAUUGUAACUGUAACGUCGAGUCCUUUUGCUAUGAAUCAGGGUCCUCGUUCUUGUUCUUCACCACUGUGGUAUUGCGAUUAGUCCUUUUGUGAUCAAAGAUUGAACCC